AAAGGACCUAACAGGGAUUCCCCUAGUAACUGCGAGUGAAGCGGGAAGAGCUCAAAUUUGUAAUCUGGCGGUUCUGCCGUCCGAGUUGUAAUCUGGAGAAGCGUUUUCCGUGCCGGACCGUGUACAAGUCCCUUGGAACAGGGCGUCAUAGAGGGUGAGAAUCCCGUCUCUGACACGGACUGCCGGUGCUCUGCGAUGCGCUCUCGAAGAGUCGAGUUGUUUGGGAAUGCAGCUCAAAAUGGGUGGUAAAUUCCAUCUAAAGCUAAAUAUUGGCGAGAGACCGAUAGCGAACAAGUACCGUGAGGGAAAGAUGAAAAGCACUUUGGAAAGAGAGUAAAACAGUACGUGAAAUUGUUGAAAGGGAAACGCUUGAAGUCAGUCGCGUCUUCCGGAACUCAGCCUUGCUUCUGCUCGGUGCACUUUCCGGUGUGACGGGCCAGCAUCGGCUUCGCGGGGCGGACAAAGGGGAGGGGAAGGUGGCAGCUCCGGCUGUGUUAUAGCCCCUCUCUGCACGCGUCCCGCGGGGCCGAGGAAUCCGGCGCUUGCGCCUGGGAUGCUGGCGUAAUGGCUUUAAGCGACCCGUCUUGAAACACGGACCAAGGAGUGCUACAUGCUCGCGAGUGUUUGGGUGAAAAACCCGGGCGCGUAAUGAAAGUGAAAGUCGAUACCCUUUGCUGGGGCACCGACGCCCGAGCCCGAUGUUUUCGGAGGGCCUUGCGGUAGAGCGAGUAUGUUGCGACCCGAAAGAUGGUGAACUAUUCCUGAGGAGGGCGAAGCCAGAGGAAACUCUGGUGGAGGCUCGUAGCGGUUCUGACGUGCAAAUCGAUCGCAGGACUUGGGUAUAGGGGCGAAAGACUAAUCGAACCAUCUAGUAGCUGGUUCCUGCCGAAGUUUCCCUCAGGAUAGCAGAAGCUCAGAUCAGAUUUAUGUGGUAAAGCGAAUGAUUAGAGGCCUUGGGGUUGAAACAACCUUAACCUAUUCUCAAACUUUAAAUAUGUAAGAACGAGCCGUCGCUUGGUUGGACCGCUCGACGAUUGAGAGCUUCUAGUGGGCCAUUUUUGGUAAGCAGAACUGGCGAUGCGGGAUGAACCGAACGCGAGGUUAAGGUGCCGGAAUGCACGCUCAUCAGACACCACAAAAGGUGUUAGUUCAUCUAGACAGCAGGACGGUGGCCAUGGAAGUCGGAAUCCGCUAAGGAGUGUGUAACAACUCACCUGCCGAAUGAACUAGCCCUGAAAAUGGAUGGCGCUCAAGCGUGCUACCCAUACCUCGCCGUCAGCGUUGAAGUGACGCGCUGACGAGUAGGCAGGCGUGGGGGUCGGGAAGAAGCCUAGGCAGCGAUGCUGGGUCCCUC
rnacentral:rRNA from 1 species